rnacentral:rRNA from 1 species
AACGAACGCUGGCGGCAUGCCUAACACAUGCAAGUCGAACGAAGGCUUCGGCCUUAGUGGCGCACGGGUGAGUAACGCGUGGGAAACUGCCUAUUGGUGGGGAAUAACGACGGGAAACUGUCGCUAAUACCGCAUAAGCCCUUCGGGGGAAAGAUUUAUCGCCGAUAGAUGUGCCCGCGUCCGAUUAGCUAGUUGGUGUGGUAAUGGCUCACCAAGGCGACGAUCGGUAGCUGGUCUGAGAGGAUGAUCAGCCACACUGGGACUGAGACACGGCCCAGACUCCUACGGGAGGCAGCAGUGGGGAAUAUUGGACAAUGGGCGAAAGCCUGAUCCAGCAAUGCCGCGUGAGUGAUGACGGCCUUCGGGUUGUAAAUCUCUUUCAGCACCGACGAAGCGCAAGUGACGGUAGGUGCAGAAGAAGGACCGGCCAACUACGUGCCAGCCGCCGCGGUAA